rnacentral:snoRNA from 1 species
ACGAUGACGAAUUGGAUGUUCAAAAUUAAGUUCUGGAUAUCUCUAUUUAUGUAAAAACACAGUGAAGAACAAAACGAGUAUAAAAAAGACGUUUCGUAUUUCCUUUGAUGAUGAUAACAU